GUCAGAGAGGAAAUGGGAAGUUGUGUCAUUGAGGGCUUUACAGGCCAAAGUAAAGACUUCACUUACAAUGUGUGAACAGGGAGCCAUCGAAAGUCUUCGAAUUAGUGAAAUGAUUUAAUCUGAUCUAUUUUUUUUUUUUUUUUUAAAGAUGGCAUCUCGCUGUGCUGCCUAGGCAGACCUUGAACUUCUGGACUUAAGCGAUAGAUCCUCCACCUCAGCCUCUUGAGUAUUUGGGACUACAGGCACGUGUCACUGCACCCAGCUUGACCUAUGUUUUAAUAGGAUUUCUCACUGUAAUGUUGAGAAAGAUUGUACCAUUAUUUUUAAUAGUGAGAAAUUAGAAACAUCAUAAAUGGCCACAAAGGAUGGACUGGGUGCACACAUUUGAAUACAUAUAUGUGAUGAAAUGUCACUUGGUUAUACACUUAUGAUAUAAUACUGAGUGAAAAAUAGAAUAUAAAAUUAUAUGUUUAUAAUACAAUUGGAACAAAUUAAAGAUAACAGCAGUAGGAUAAGAACAAGCUAUGGGUAUUCUUCUCACUUGCUUUUCCCUGUGCAUGCUUUUAAUACUUUGUUUUAAAACAAAGUAACCCAUGCUUAUUAUACAAACUUGAACAAUUAUGAAUUAUAAUGUAAAAAUUAAUAAAAUCCUAUCAUUUCCUUCAAUUCCAUACUUCUAGAAUUAACUAAUGUUAAAAUUGAUGUGUGUUCGUCA
rnacentral:lncRNA from 10 species